AGCAAAUAGGGUUUCAUCUUCUUCAACACACUUCUCAUCUCCAUCUCAAAGGGCUGAUUUCCUUCAAUCAGCUUCCUCCCCGUCAUUCUUCUCUACCUAUCCAUUACGUUUGGGAGUUAAUUAGUGGUAAGGGUACACACAGUUUUUCGGAUGAAUCGAAGGUGUAUUUUGUUAGAUUCAAAAUACAAUCGAUUCUCAUCUUCAUUUUCAAGAUCUAAAAAAUGGGAUGGCCUUAGAAGAUGAUUGCAAAAGGCUUCAUCUGGAUUUUUAAAGUAUAAAUGGUUCAGAUCUAAAAACGCGAUGGCCUGAAAAGACGACGGUAAAAAGGUUCACUUGGAUUUAAUUUUGUUCAAUUCUGAGGAUUGCAUCAAGACACUUGACGUCGGCGAAACAACCACCGCCAAAUCGAAAGGUCGCAACUUUAUCUAAUUCGUAAACAAAAACCGGUCGGUGAUUUUCCGUCUAAGACCAGGGCUCCAACAGAGAGACGGUUCGGUGGCUGGAUCGGGAAGUCGUCGUCGAUGAUUCAUCAGCGGCUAGGGUUUGAUUGUAAUUUGCUAUGUAUCGUCAAUUCAUCUUCGUUUUGUUCACUGUAUCAUCAGAUUGUCUCAUUCCAUUUACGAUAAAUCAAAGGUCAUUGUUGGCUGCGCUUCAAUUUCUAAUGCAAUUAUAACUUUUGAUACAGUUAUAAUUAACUAUGAAAGUGUCCAAAGUGUGUUUGAUCCUUGUGAGUAUGAUAGAUUGAGUUUUGGAGGUGAUUCAAUGCAUCAAGAUGGAGAUAGUGAAGCUCAUAGUAAGGUGUGAAGAAAUGAUAACCACAUACGCCUACGACGACUCACUUGCAACGGUAGACAAGAUGCACUCCGCCACUGACCAACCAAAGCUCAUGUCACUAACCAUCAAACCUGAUCGCUAAGUUGCAAUAAACAGUGUUUUGGAACCUUAGCAUUACCACCAAGUACCCCAGCGUCUCAAUCACAUGAUGCUACCAGCUUCCAAUCCCUGACACAAAUAAAUCAGUGAGCACAAAUGGUUUAAAAUUGAGUACUUCGAAUGAACUUGCAUACGAGGAAGGGUUUACGCUCUACAAUCCCAAAGCAGACUCAUCUGAAGCUCGCAUAACUGCUCGAGUGUUGCUGGCAACAUAACCUGACAUUGAGAUGCAACUUCACCGAAAUUCUCGACAAAUUAAAGAAAUUAUUAGGAAAAGAGGGGACAGUUGACCGUCGAAUGUUAACUUC
rnacentral:lncRNA from 1 species